AUCCAGUUGACGAGUCUAAAUGAGAACGAAACGCGCGUCAAACUGGAU
rnacentral:hammerhead_ribozyme from 1 species